rnacentral:rRNA from 1 species
UACGGAGGGGGCUAGCGUUAUUCGGAAUUACUGGGCGUAAAGCGCACGUAGGCGGACUGGAAAGUUGGGGGUGAAAGCCCAGGGCUCAACCCUGGAACUGCCUUCAAAACUCCCAGUCUUGAGGUCGAGAGAGGUGAGUGGAAUUCCGAGUGUAGAGGUGAAAUUCGUAGAUAUUCGGAAGAACACCAGUGGCGAAGGCGACUUACUGGUCCAUUACUGACGCUGAGGCUCGAAAGCGUGGGGAGCAAACAGGG